GCUAAAUUACAUUUUUUAUCAUUCUGGUUUUUUUCUUGUUAUUACAAAAAAAUAUUUACAGUUAAUGCUUUGAGUAAUAAUAAAAAAAUUUGUUGAAUUUAUAAUGUACAUAAAACACAAUAAUGGCAUGCAUGCAGCAGACGUCAACAUCGUUUUCGAGACAGAUCUCCUACAAGAAGUGAAUUGGUUGCAACUUGCAAGUUUAGCAACUGAAGGAUUUUAAGUUUGAAUGAGUCUGCAAUUUGAAUUAAAAGUUUUAUAGUGUUUUGUAGGUAAUUGAUUUUUUUUUUUUUUAAUUGAUCAUUUAAAAUAUAACAUAAUAUAAUCCGAUAGGUACAUAGGUAUAUUUAUAGUUUAUACUUUAUAAGGUAUUUUAAUAUUGAAUUUUCAUACGUACGAUGUUGUUGUUUUCGAAUAACAAUUAUUCAUAUACAUCAUAGUUAGUUGAUAAUAAUAAUAUUAUUAUUGUACUAUACAACAAUAAACCAAAAAGGAUAAGCAAUAUCUCUAUCGCGUAUUUAGCGCUCCGGACGAGAAUAAUCAUACGAGAAGCGAGUAAUUUAUAUACCUAUGGUAUCCAAAGGUACAUACGCGCGUAUACAGCCGUUAUCUGAUUGAUCGUUAUUGUAAUGAUAUACAACCUGAGAACGGUAUACCGCUUGUCCGCUUAUACCAAGAUAAUCGCGUAAGUAGAUAGCAAGAGUAAAAUUAUGUAACAAUAUUUAUUUAUGUGUGCACCGAAGUGAGCAAAAAUCGAACAGACCACAAAACAAAAUACCUAUAGGAGCGUGUAUUAUACGGUUUUUGAAAUUUUUUAUUCAAACGUUUAAUGAGUACAAUUUUAUUUUAUUUUAUUUUAUUGUAUAUGAUUUGUUUUUCUUUAGCUCUUGCAGUUUAGCAUGAUAUAUUUUUAUAAUAAAUCGACCAAUUUAUUAUAAUAUGAUUAAUAUGACAUAUUGUAGUCCACGUGGUGUUAUCAAAAUGUUUCUCGAUCAUAUUAUUAUUAUUUUAUACGUUACUACAAUAAAACAGUAUAAAUACAAUUAUCAAAAUAGCACUGUAAAUAAAAAAUAUUUUACCAAAAUUUUUGAAAUUUUUUGUGAUAUAAGUGCCAAGUCACGAAUCAAAUUCAUAUAUUUAUGCACGCUAACGAGUCCGGUCUAUGACGAUAAACAAAUAUAUAUAUAUAUAUAUA